AAAGUGGGAGAAUUAGUGAUGAGUCAGUUAGGGCUUUGCCUUUUAUAUGUAUAAAUAAAGCUGGCAAUAGAUGCUCUACAGCAGGAGUGCCAAACUCAUACUCGAGGGUCGCCAUAGCUGCAGGUUUGUGUUCCAAACCUCUUUAAUUAGAAACCAGUUAAUGCUGCUAAUUGUUUAGACUUUUUUACCUAAAUUAUAAUUGACUGACUUGUUUAUUUUUUUCCUUAAAUAGCUGCCAAACAAUAAGAGAUGCAAAGCAAGCCAGUGGAUGAUCAGCCAAUUUGGGGGAUUUUAAACAGUCCUGUAGGACCACCAUUUUGACUCCAAUCCAUCUCCUCUUUAGCUGCAGUGAACAGAACAUGGAAUGACCUUUCUGGCGUACUGCAAGAUUUACUGUAUAUUCAACAGAAUUCAAACUCACAUGCUGUUUUGGGUUGAAGUCACAAUCUGCUUAAAUUCUUCUAGUGUUUCCUCGGUUUCCUGAGAAUUCUGAAUGUGAGACAAAUUUUGUUCCUCCAGCUCAGCAAGAAUAUCCAAGAGUUCUUGGGGGUCUUGGAAAUACAGUUCUACUUCCUGGAUUGAUGAUGGUAACAAAUAACAACAUUACUGAGCUAAAAUAUGCCAUUUAUAAAUAUCUGAAAAGAUGAGAGUAGUUAAGGUAGUAAGCAAUAAUAGAUCAAUUACUGACCUGCUGACAGCAUAGAACAGUACAGUAUAGUGAAAGGGCAAGUAUCACAUAGCCUGCUGCUCACUAUUUAUCUAUACAGCGCCUAUAAUGUACUUUUAUCAUGGAGUACUAAUGUCAUCUUUCACCAUGAUAAACUGCAUAGUAAAUACAGUAUUGUCAAUAUUUUGCUUUUCAUAUUUGUUUCUAAUUUAGAUUACCUUGCAGAGAUUUGUUUUCACUUUAACAUUAAAAACUCUCUUCCUGUUUAUCAAUUGUAAAAAAAA